AAAAAUUCAACUUGGCAACGCUUCCCAUCAUAUUAAGUAAAUAACAACAGGUGCGAGAUGAAUUGUGACGAGGCUUUCACCAACUGUGAAAUAGGUAAUAGGUAUAGGUACCUGGUACAUAGUUAGUCGAAAUAUGCCAUCCACGCCCAACUGUCGUGUGGAAGACUACGUGUGACAUCAUUCAAUGGAAUUGUCAAAUUCUGUGGUAACUGGAAAUUUUUAACGAAUGUGUUGAACUUUUAAUGCGUUAAGAUGAUUUUGAUUCGUGGUGUUUCGGUAAAUCAAUGUGAUUAUCGUUCGGGCAUUGGUAUAGUCUUCACCACUUGAGAAACCGUAUAAAACCGACAUCUUGGACGAAACUCAAGAAUCAAGAUGAUUAUGUUCUCAGUCCUCAGACAACAUCAGCAUUCUAAUUGUGAAUGGUAUACUUAUUGAAACAUGGAUUCAAUUUUAACAGAAGUUAUUCAUAAUUUAUCACUAUUUAUCUACACUUUUUCACUGAACGGUUUAAACCGAUCAGAAAAAGUCAACAUCGCAGCUGCCAAUCGAGGUGAAAAAUAUUGAUUAUACCAGAACUGUUUCCAGUUGACGAUGAACAAGAACCAUGAUUUGAUUAGGUACUUAUAUGUACUUGAACUACGAAACUUUCCAGCAGCACCAUUCAACGAAUUAUGAUUAUCAUUCACAUCGUCUCUAUAUAGUCCAUAUUGAGGACCCAUUUUACCAAUACGAUUACAUUGUACCAGUCCUUGGACAUUUUCGUCUGAAAACAAACGAACAAUAAUUUACAUAAUAUACUUACCUAUUCAUAGCUGUUGCCAAAAAUAUUACCAAAAUGGGAGUAUCAUUGGUGAGCAGGGGUUCUCCGCCCACGUUUUCUACGUAUGAUCAAGAUUCUUCUGAAGCUCAUUUCUGAUAAUACUUUUGAUCCACUCAUCGGAGAAUGGUCACUGGUCAGAACUGUCGUUCGCCGAUUUGAACGAAACUUCGCCAACGUGAUAUGCAUACAUGGUGUCCGGGGAGUGGUGGUACAGACUUCAGAUUUGGAUAUAACCGGGUAUGAGUGAAAAAAAAGUAAAAGAAACAAGUUGCCUAUUUUGAAAAUUGAAAGGACAAAAUCUAAGAGCCAUAAUCCAAUUUUGGCCAUGGGGGUCGGUAGUACCUACAUACAUAUAUGUAUAGAUACUCUUACUUUGGAAAAUGAACAAAAUUACCUAUAAUGACGUUUUGCCUAACUUGUAAAUUGAAGGGACUACAAAUAAUUUUUGAUUUCAAAAAAUCGCGAUGAAAAAAAUUUUUUUCCGAGUCUAAAAUCUUAAAAGUUUUUGAAGCGCAACAAUUUUUGAUCUGCUAAAAAUCAUUUAGAAAUUUUCAAGCUUCAAAAACUUCUUAAAUUUUAGAGUGAAAAAAAAUCAUCAAAACAAAAUUUGUUUAUUCAUUUUCGCAUUCAUUUUUAUCAUCGCGAUUUUUUUUUAAAUUAAAAAUCAUUUGCAGCCCUCUUCAAAUUGUAAGUUAGGCAAAAAGCCAUAAGAGGUAAUUUUGUUCAUUUUUCAAAGUAUUAACAACACCACCACCCCCCCCCCAAACGGGACAAAAUUGGAUUUUGGCACUUGCAUUUUUAAAAUGUAUUUCGCCCCUUCAAUUUUCAAAAUAGCAACUUGUUCAACUUACGUUUUUUUCUUAUUGUUAGUUAGUCGUACUCGUACCUAUCCGGUUGUAUCCAAAUGUGAAGUUUGUACCAUCACUCCCCGGACACCCUGUAUAAAAGAAAUUUGCAGCUGAUAUUCGGUUUUUUCUGAAAUGAGUCCAAUCUGGAAAUUAAGGGGCAGGGGCAUGUAGAUUUUUAAAAAUCCAAUUUUUGGCCAUGCAUUCUGGCAUAAUUAUUUGAGACAAUCCAAAAAAGGUUCUCUGACGAAAUAGCCUAUCUCUGAAAUUAAAAGCUCUACAAGAAAAUCAUUUUUCAAGGAUAUCUAAUAUUUCUAUAAACUAGGUAUUGUUUCCAGCUCUUUCAAAUUUCAAAGUUGGACAAUAUCACGAAAAAAACAUUUUUUGUUCGUAUAGAAAAGUUACACAAUAAUUUACCUUCAAAGUUGACAAAAAUUCAAUUUUUUUAAAUUUUGAAAAACUUACAAAAAAAAUCCACUCUAUUCGCAAAGUAUGAUUGCCUGUAGCAUAGCGCCUUCAGUUUUAAAGAUAGGCGAUUUUAUCGGAGAACUUUUUUUGUUCGUCUUAGAAAAUCAAGCCAGAAUCAAUGGUCAAAAAUUAAAUUUUCAAAAAUCAACAAACCCAUGCCCCUUCAAUUUCCAGAAUAGACUCAUUUCAGAAAAACUGAAUAUCAGCUGCAAGUUGCUUUUUUCCAUGUGUACAACACGUAGGCGAAGUAUCGUUCUGAUCGGCGACCAACAGUCUGACUGUUCCGUGUAAUAAAAUAAUCUUCCCCAUUUGCUUUCGUGAUUGAGGUCUUCAUAGAAAAAAUAAAUGGAAAUAAUAAUUUUUAAAAAAAUUUAUGUAUGUACUUUAACCUUGUAUGUAUGUAAUGUACGUAUUCAAAAGUACUUAUAUAAUUAAAUUUUCAUUGUUUGACUGAGACGUUUCUAUCAGAUGAACGAUCCUUGGACAACUAGGCAUUUGAUGAAUUUUGAUAUUAUAAAAAUUCAAAUUGAAACAGAUUAUUAAAAAAAUGAUAAAAAAAUUCUAUUAGAUAGGUAUUUCAAAUCAAAUUGAAUUUUACAGAUAUCAUUUUUAAUUUUUAAUUUUAAGAGAAUUCAUUUUUUCUUUAGAUUUUUCGGUAAAUGCUUACCAUAAUUUCAAAUUAAUCCAACUUUUCACACGGUUGGUUGGAAAUUUAUUUGAAUAAAUUUGUACUUCAAAUAACGCGAGUUUACAUCGAAUGUGACUUUAAGCUUUCGACACCAUAUGGAUCAAGGGCCGAUUUCACCAUCUUAUAGGGGAAGGCCCUUUUCACAAAAUCAUUUUUGAUUUUCAUUUUGAUUUUUCUGAGCGACACGUUUAACGCUUGCAAAAUUGGUAAUAAAUUACCCUUUUAAUGAAUUUUCAUUUCAAUUUCAAAUGAAAAUCGAUAAUUCUUACACAUUUGAUUUUUGAUAAUUUUUUUCAUUAAAUUCAAGUUACAAUCGGAUUCUUGAAAAAUAAAUAUUAGAUCAAUUUAAUUAUUUUAAACUAAAUUUUAUAAAGAUGAUAAUUUUAUUUCAGAUUAAUAUUUCUUUUGAAUUUCAAAUGAAUCAAUUAUUCUCUGAAAUCUGAAUAAACUUUUAACGAAUUUUUACAAAAAUUACCCAUUACGAAUUAUUUUUUGAUGAAUUUUAUUCUUUUCAAAAUUCAAAUCAAAAUUCAAUUUUCUAAAAAAUUAACCUCCGAUGAGUUUCAAUUUUAAAUUUCAAAACUGGAAUUUUUCAGAGAAUUCACUGAUAUGAAACAGUACAUAUCUGACUUUCAUUCAAACAAACCAAUAAUCCGCAUUAACUCGAUGGCAAACUGCACAAAUCGAACACAAAUAUUCGAUAAUAAAACCGCACAAACUCGUAUUACAUUUUUUAUAUUUUCAAAGGUAUAAAACUUUACAUAAACAUAAUUUAGGACACAAUCAUCGAAUACAUAAUAUACACACGUAGCACGCAGGUAUAUAUACAAAACCACAAAUUAACUACGAAUAAAUAAUUUAACUAAUAUUUCAGUCUUAAGUAAGACAAACAAAAAAGAAGAAAAAUACAUCAUACACAAAGAGCAAAACUCAUAAUCUAAAUUAAAAAAAAAAAAAAAAAAAAAAAAACAUUAAAAA